rnacentral:rRNA from 1 species
GACGAACGCUGGCGGCGUGCUUAACACAUGCAAGUCGAACGGAAAGGCCCUGCUUUUGUGGGGUGCUCGAGUGGCGAAAGGGUGAGUAACACGUGAGUAACCUGCCCUUGACUAUGGGAUAACUUCAGGAAACUGGGGCUAAUACAGGAUAGGAGCUCCUGCUGCAUGGUGGGGGUUGGAAAGUUUCGGCGGUUGGGGAUGGACUCGCGGCUUAUCAGCUUGUUGGUGGGGUAGUGGCUUACCAAGGCUUUGCCGGGUAGCCUGCCUGAGAGGGUGACCGGCCCCAUUGGGAUGGAGAUGCGGCCCAGACUCCUCCGGGAGGCAGCAGUGGAGAAUAUUGCACUAUGGGCUGAAGCCUGAUGCAGCAACGCCGCGUGCGGGAUGACGGCCUUCGGGUUGUAAACCGCUGUCGCCUGUGACGAAGCGUGAGUGACGGUAAUGGGUAAAGAAGCACCGGCUAACUACGUG